ACUCCUACGGGAGGCAGCAGUGGGGAAUAUUGCACAAUGGGCGCAAGCCUGAUGCAGCCAUGCCGCGUGUAUGAAGAAGGCCUUCGGGUUGUAAAGUACUUUCAGCAGUGAGGAAGGCAGGUACGUUAAUAGCGUGCUUGUUUGACGUUAGCUGCAGAAGAAGCACCGGCUAACUCCGUGCCAGCAGCCGCGGUAAUACGGAGGGUGCGAGCGUUAAUCGGAAUUACUGGGCGUAAAGCGCAUGCAGGUGGUUCGUUAAGUCAGAUGUGAAAGCCCGGGGCUCAACCUCGGAAUUGCAUUUGAAACUGGCGGACUAGAGUACUGUAGAGGGGGGUAGAAUUUCAGGUGUAGCGGUGAAAUGCGUAGAGAUCUGAAGGAUACCGGUGGCGAAGGCGGCCCCUGGACAGAUACUGACACUCAGAUGCGAAAGCGUGGGGAGCAAACAGGAUUAGAUACCCUGGUAGGAUAGCG
rnacentral:rRNA from 1 species